CUCGGCAAACACAAACCUCGCCUGUUUACCAAAAACAUCGCCUCUUGUAUCUCAACAAUAAGAGGUCCCGCCUGCCCUGUGACUUACAUGUUUAACGGCCGCGGUAUUUUAACCGUGCAAAGGUAGCGUAAUCACUUGUCUUUUAAAUGGAGACCCGUAUGAAUGGCACCACGAGGGUUUCACUGUCUCCUUUUUCCAGUCAAUGAAAUUGAUCUCCCCGUGCAGAAGCGGGGAUAAAAACAUAAGACGAGAAGACCCUGUGAAGCUUAAAGACGACAAGCAGCCCAGCCUAAGCACCUCAAAUAAAAGAACUAAAACACUGACCCCUGCCCUAAUGUCUUCGGUUGGGGCGACCACGGAGAAACAAAAAACCCCCACGUGGAACAGGAGCACUAUAUUUCCUUUCCUCUCCUACAACCUAGAGCCACCCCUCAAAGUAACAGAAUUUUUGACCAAACAUGACCCGGCCACGCCGAUCAACGAACCAAGUUACUCCAGGGAUAACAGCGCUAUCCCCUUUUAGAGCCCAUAUCGACAAGGGGGUUUACGACCUCGAUGUUGGAUCAGGACAUCCUAAUGGUGCAGCCGCUAUUAAGGGUUCGUUUGUUCAACG
rnacentral:rRNA from 1 species